UACGGAGGGUGCAAACGUUGCUCGGAAUCAUUGGGCGUAAAGCGCACGUAGGUGGCCUGUUAAGUCGGGUGUGAAAUCCCUGGGCUCAACCCAGGAAGUGCACUCGAAACUGGCGGGCUUGAGUACUGAAGAGGGUCGCGGAAUUCCCGGUGUAGAGGUGAAAUUCGUAGAUAUCGGGAGGAACACCGGUGGCGAAGGCGGCGAUCUGGGUAGAUACUGACGCUGAGGUGCGAAAGCGUGGGGAGCAAACAGG
rnacentral:rRNA from 1 species